rnacentral:rRNA from 1 species
GAGUACAAUUUAAAUCCUUUAACGAGGAUCUAUUGGAGGGCAAGUCUGGUGCCAGCAGCCGCGGUAAUUCCAGCUCCAAUAGCGUAUAUUAAAGUUGUUGCAGUUAAAAAGCUCGUAGUUGGAUCUCGGGUCCAGGCUUGCGGUCCACCUCGCGGUGGCUACUGCUCGUCCUGACCUACCUCCCGGUUUUCCCUUGGUGCUCUUAGCUGAGUGUCUCGGGUGGCCGGAACGUUUACUUUGAAAAAAUUAGAGUGUUCAAAGCAGGCAUUUCGCCUGAAUAAUGGUGCAUGGAAUAAUGGAAUAGGACCUCGGUUCUAUUUUGUUGGUUUUCGGAACUUGAGGUAAUGAUUAAGAGGGACAGACGGGGGCAUUCGUAUUACGGUGUUAGAGGUGAAAUUCUUGGAUCGCCGUAAGACGAACUACUGCGAAAGCAUUUGCCAAGAAUGUUUUCAUUAAUCAAGAGCGAAAGUCAGCGGUUCGAAGACGAUCAGAUACCGUCGUAGUUCUGACCAUAAACGAUGCCAACUAGCGAUCCGCCGGAGUUGCUUCAAUGACUCGGCGGGCAGCUUCCGGGAAACCAAAGUCUGGUUCCGGGGGAAGUAUGGUUGCAAAGCUGAAACUUAAAGGAAUUGACGGAAGGGCA